UAAUCGAUGCUCCCAGUCCCAAUACCGCACUGCCGACAUACAGCAAAACUGUCGAUGGGAAUAUAAACGUUAAGGCUCCCACUACCAUGGCCGCACGAGGUCCGGUAAAUGAGAUAAAGGACGGCGCCAACCAAUUGGACAGGGAGAAAAAUAAAUAUAUAAUGGCCAGGCUUGUGUAGCCUUCUCCUUUAAAUGUGUCAUCUUCUUGAGCAAUGCUAUCCAAAAUGGUUUUCUAAAAAAGGAAAAUGAGAAGACAAAAGUAUUUAGUUAAAACUUAAAUCAUUAGGCAGACUUUUUAUCGAAAAUUUCUUUGUACUUUCUGUAUCUUAUAUAGAAUAAUAUCACAAUUACAUAGGUUAAGUUCUUUC